UCGAGGACCAAGCAGUAUAUUCCUGCUGGUAAAAUCUCCUAUUCUGUGGAACUUAGUCCUGCCCCUGGUCAUGCUUAAGUCUUGACAUACUCUUUUUUGUUUCCUCUCCAGCUCCAAGUGCUGUUGCUCCACAUGCUUUUUGACUCUGUCCUCUCCUUUAUUUGCAGGUCUCCCUGACUUCUUUCACACAUUGAGACAGGCUGCCUCAGAGUUGCUGCCCUACCCAAUCUUAGCUGCAGUGCAUGUUGGACCUUUUGUCAUCUUAAGCAUCUUGGCUUUCAUCUUCUGUGGAAGGGGAGGGAAGUGCACAAAGAAGUGCCUUUCUCCCAGAAAGAGGCAAGUACCCCCAGCAACAAAGGAGCUUCCUGGGGCUGAUGCGCUGCGCGGCCGAGAGCAGCCCGGCGGAGGCACUACCCAGCAGACUGCGCCGAGCCGCCCCUCGGACCACGGCGAGCCGAAGGACAGCUCCUCCCGCCGGCAGCCGCCCCGGACCUCCGGACGUGCACCGCGCCCCGGCGGGGCGGCGCCCGGCGCGCUCCUCCCGGCGCUGCGGGCGGGGGGCGGGGGGGGUGCGCCGCCCUCCCGGUCCCGGCGGCACUUCGGGUUCGCGCACUGCCCCUGCCCCCUCGCUUCCCCGGCCGCUGCGGAGCGCGGGGUGUAGCCGCGCCCUGUGCUCGGUCCCGCAGGUUGCUUCUCGCAGUAACUCAUUUCCCCUCACCCUCCCUUCCUCUUCUUCCCUCUUUUCUUCACUUCCCACCUGCUUUUUUGCCCUCUUCCCUUCCCUUCCCUUCCUCUCCCCACUCUAUUUCUUACUUCCGUCCUUGUUUCCUUUCCCUGUCUCACCCCCAUUUUCCCUGCCAUUCUUUCUUCUCUCUUUCCUUCCCCCUUAGAAUCAUAGAAUCAUUUAGGUUGGAAAAGACCUUUAAGGUCAUCGAGUCCAACCGUCAACCCAACACCACCAGGCCCACCAAACCAUGUCCCGAAGUGCCUUGUCUACGUGUUUUUUGAAUACCUCCAGGGAUGGUGACACCACCACUUCCCCGGGCGGCCUGUUCCAAUGCCUGACAACCCUUUCAGUAAAGAAUUUUUUCCUAAUAUCCAAUCUAAUCCCUUCUCUCCUUUCCUCUCACACUUGCCCCCCAUUUCUCCUUCUCCCCCCUUCCUCCCCGUCUUACAAAUUCGCCUUCCCUUGUCCCUCCCAUCCCUCUUUUCUUUUUUCUUUCUUCCUCCUCUUUCCCCCUUUCUGCCACCCCUCCCUUCAGAUCUUUAGACCCUCAGGCGUAGACAGCCAGGGACCACUCCCACACCCAUGUACAGACUGGAGGUGCCAGCUAAGGGUAAUCAUCUGAGGACCAAAAACUUGGAAGAGAAGCAGUGUGACCUGAUUUGUUCAUGUCAGUGACGUUUUUCUAAGGAAGUACGUAAGUAUAGAAGGGGCCUAGAAGGGGUAGCAAACAGAAAAGAAAAGAGCAAGGAGUGUUUGAGAGAGGAAGAGCUAACUAAAUGCCAUCAGCACUUAAGUUGUUAAAAGCUGAAGGAAUGGUUGUUAAGCAUUGUUUAUAGGAAGGUCUGAGGGGGCAUAACGCACAAGGAAUGGAAAAAUACCGUGGCUGAACCCAGGGUUCUGCCUCAGGCCUGCAAGCGGGCUUUUGGCAUGGAGUCCUCGUGCUGAGCCCAGGCACGUCAGUGUGGGGAGGGCCCUGCAUGCUGGGCGAGUGAGGGGUGAGUAGGGCUAGAUCUUGGCGAGGGCUGCUCUGUGCCAAACGCACAUGGAGGGGAAUGGGAGAUGGGUCUGAAGGAAUAAGGGGUGUGGGCUUUUAAUCUCCAACAAGGUCCCUGAUGUUUCCACUGGGUUCCCCCGCAAUGUACUUGAAGACAAUGCUUCUUCUGGGGUCCCCCAGGACUUCUCCUGCAAUAUCACUAGCCACAGGUGGUACCCAAGGCACUGUCACCUGCACGCAUUUAGAACCCCUCUGGUAGAUAGCCCCUACCCUGACCUGCUGCUUGCAAGCUUUGUCACCCCGAGGGCUCUGCAGGUGCUACUCAAUCCAGCCCCCGAAGCCCCUAGCCACUAAAACCUGCCCCAAGACCACCACCAACCUCUGAAUCCCUGGACCUCAAAACCACCCCCAAACCUGAACCAAUCCCCUCCUACAAUCUUAAAACUGCCCCUAAGGCCUGCCCAAGACCACCAAUGUCUCUGACAGCACCCCUGAAGCCUGCUGUAAACUGUAAACCCCCAUCCCCAAUCCUGCUUUCAUUCCCCUUCAAGUCCACCCCAAACAAUGCUCCAGUACUCACAGCAACUGCAAACCACCCACAAUCCUGCCCCCAAACCCCCAUGACUCCAGAUGUCUCUUUAUCUCCCUUCACCGGUUGAAGUUGGCUUCUUGGUGCCCACGUGGUCCUGUGUGCCCUUGGUCCCGUGCCAGAGGAGAACGGGAUGGAUGGCUGGACACGGCUGGGACUGAGGCACAGACCAUUCAGAGACCCAGCAGCAGCAGAGGAUGGGUCGCUCCCUGAGGUUCACCAGCAUUUCCUUUUCCCAUUGCAGUAAGACAAGCACAAGCUAGCCCUUGACUUCACUUUUUUGUCAGUUAACACCAAAGUUAGAUUACAUCGGGGAAAGAGUGAGGCUCAGCCAGGUGGCUCCCAGCCUGACUCCAAUAUAGGCUCUGCUGGAGGCUGAUGUGCUUCCUACUAUGCUCAAACUGUAUUGGGGUCCUCCUUGCUGCCUGCAACAUGACCGCAUCAACUCGGCAGUCCCCUAGCACUGCUGCACAGCUAUGUUUUGUUGGAUGAGCGUGGGGCUGUCAGAGGCAGAGGGGAGCAGAGUGUAGUCCCUUGCUUCUCUGCAAGGUGUGAUUUCUCUCAGCCUAGCAUGCUCCCUGUAAUAUUCCUCUGGCCGCCUGUGGUCAGAGUCAGUUGUCUCUCUCCUGGCAGCACUUCCACUUGCCCUGGCCCAGGAAAGUGGGGAAAAAAAAUGUGCUUUGAAACCGACAGCAGCUUCUGGAUUCAUUAGUCAGCUCUCUCCAAGAAUCACACCUGCUCUGGUGGGGCACCAUCAGGCUUUAGAGUAUGGAAGAAGCAGGCAGGGUGCGAGGAAGGAUGGAGGCUGCAAACGGAAGCACCAAGGGGUGAGUGCAAUUACCUGAGCAGGUUGUUCAGUGGGUGACAUGUGGGCUGGGCUGGGCUUGGCUGCUUGGGUCUGUAGUGGGGUCUUGGGUGCAGGUUUGCGGUUACCUGUGCAUGUGACGAAAGGUUUGUGGGGGGUAGCGUGUGGAGGAGAUGGGAUGCUGUGUGUGUCUGGGCUGUUGGGUGCAUUGUGGUGCUGAGGGGAGUGCCUGCAUAUGCCUGCAGGAUUACUGCACAGUGCUUUUUUCCAUGCUGGUGUCUGUGUUGUCAGCUGUACCAGUGUUCAUGGACGAGCGUGCAUGCACCAAUGUCUGUAUGGGAGGCUGUUACGCCUGUAGUGCCCUACCCAUCCCUCUUCCCCUGGUCAUGGCAUCUGUCUGCUGGACAGGUGGAGAAGUUAACUGUCUGUGGGUGGGUGUAUGUGCCCAUGUUUGUGCUGGCCAUGAGGCAGAGCUGCUCCCUCACUGGGGCUAUGCCAGGUAUGCAGAAUGUGUCUGCAUGUGUGUGUGCAUGCAUGUGCUUGCAUGUUUUGUGGUACGGGAGGCUCUUCCCCUGACUCUGUGUGCCUGUGGAGAUGUUUUGGGGUCUGCAGAGCAGGUUUUUCUGGGUCCUCUGUGGCUCUUUCUGCUUCCAGGGAGCCUGGGAUCCCUGAAGUACUCUGGUCACCUCUGUCAGACUGUUCCAGGGGCCUGUGGGGGAACACUUGUGGGUCUGCGGGUACUGUGAUCUCUGGGACUUUGUCAGGGUUUCCGGUAGGUUUGCAGGAGCUCCUGGGGCUUUUACUCACCUUUGAGCUCUGUUCUCAGUGUGGGGGUGCUCAUUUGGGGGUCUUCAGGGCAGUUCCUACCACUUUGCUCCCACAUUUGGGCUAGUGCAGGGGUCAUCUUGAGUGUCUGAAGAUUUUGGUGGUUCCCUGGGGCCGUGGUGGGGUGCCUUGAGGUGUUUGCCAUGUUUUUCAGACAGCUUGGCGAUGCCCAGACCUGGUCUCUUUUGGGAGAGUUGUUUCAGAGUCUUUGAGUUCCUUCCCACAGGCUUGUUGAGCAAUCAAAUGUUAAGUAUGGAGGGCUCUUUGCUAAAGCUCUGCUCAGUGAGCUUCACUGCCAAUCUGUGAAUGCUGACUGAAGCAAGCAAAGUGGGGAAAUUACAGAAAAACUGUCAUAACCAGCAUUUUGAAGGGCACAAUGCUUGCCCUGCCUUAUGCAGCAGGAGAAGUGUAUUUGGAAACCUUUUGAGCGUGAACUGGUUUUGAGAGCUGGUGGUUAGCGAGACCUUCAUCUUACCCUAACUGGCAUCCACAGCAGAGCAGCAGUGACCUGAGGAGGGUUAAGGUCAGACUCUGCUCCUCCUCAUCUCCUGUUCUUCUCACUGCCUUCUCUCGCUGUCUUUCAAAUGGAAUGGCAUCCAGUAUCUAGACUCAGCACAGUAAGGGCAAAUGCAAGGACUGAGGGGCAGAGGGUGUUUUAUGACUGGCUGGCUGGCCUUCUGCCAGUGGCCUGAUCCCAGAUAGGCAGACUGGUUGCAGGGCCUGUUCUGCAAAUGCAGGCUGGAGAAAUGGGCUGAACCUCAUGAAGUUCAACAAGGGGAAGUGCAGAGUCCUGUACCUGGGGAGGAACAACCCCAUGCACCAGUACAUGUUGAUGGCCCCCCAGCUGGAAAGCAGCAUGAGCCAAAAAUGUGCCAUUGCUGCAAAGAAGGCUGAGGGUGUCCUGAGCUGCACUAGGCAAAGUAUUGUCAGCAGGAUGAGGGAGGUGAUUCUUCCCCUCUGCUCAGCACUGGUGAGGCCACACAUGGAGAGCUGUGUCCAGUUCUGGGCUCCCCAGUGCAAGAGAGACAUGGAAAUGCUGGCAAGAGUCCAACGAAAGGCCACAGGGAUGAUUAAGGGACUGGACAGUCUCUCCUGUGAGGU